AUGGCCGUUGCACACAGGAAGUAGGAAGUAGGAAGUAGGAAGCAGGAGGUAGUCUCCUGUCUUUUUGUUUGUCUGCCAUGCUUUAACAUCAGAAGCAAUCCUUUCCAAUCCUAGCUUGUUACGCUUAAGAAAGCAAUGGCUUUUUCACUCAUUUUUCAAUGACAAGAAUGUGACAGCACUGGAAAGUCAUUAAACUUGAGAGCUGAGAUGCUAAAUUCCUGACUCGCGUUUCGUUAUUGAAUCGAGUUUGGCUGGCUGUCAACCUACGUUCUACUGUUCACAAACACGUAGGGAGGACAGUUACAGGGGAAAUCUUUUAGGACCGAGAUGAGGAAAA